UCUGAUAUUGGAAUUUUCCUUGCCCGGCCGCACUUGGCAUCUCAUUGUCACUCUUGGGAUUUCAAGAAGGAGGAAUGUCAACUCAUCAUCUGAGACAUUCUUUUCAAGAAGUUAUUUGACUGUUGCCAUUGACUGAUGUUACAUCAUGAAGGAGAUACUGAGCUGCCUCUCUGAGUGAACUCAACUUUCUUCACUGCUGACAUCUUGUUCAAGAAGUUAUUUGACUGUUGCCGUUGACUGAUGUUACAUCAUGAAGGAGAUACUGAGCUGACUCUCUGCGUGAAGUCAACUUUCUUCAUUGCGGACAUCUUGUUGAAGAAGUUAUUUGCCUGUUGCCAUUGACUGAUGUUACAUCAUGAAGGAGAUACUGAGCUGCCUCUCUGAGUGAACUCAACUUUCUUCACUGAUGACAUUCUUUUCAAGAAGUUAUUUGACUGUUGCCAUUGACUGAUGUUACAUCAUGAAGGAGAUACUGAGCUGCCUCUCUGAGUGAAGUCAACUUUCUUCACUGCGGACAGCUGGUUUUCGAAAACGCCCGUUUUGAAAAGGUGUCCUUUGUGUGGAAGAGGGCGCUCCACCGUGCGGAGACCGUAUAAAAUGCCAGGUCCUUGGGCCAUUGGUUUCAUUCUUGUUCUGAUGCUGGUCGUGGAAGGUGCCUUGCCGAUGCUCUUGAUGUUCUGAGCAUGAUGAUGUCAACCUUUGGGUCCUUAGUGGUCUCAGUCCCGUACCAUUGACACCCAAGCUACACCAACAUCCGACCCUCUGCCCUGAAGGAUGUCUGCCCGAAGGAUGUCCGCCCGAAUCCAACUUCAAAACAUUGUGAUAUUGAACAAUGCUGACUUGCAAAUGUGUUGUGGUUCUGGUUCGUCAUCAACCCAAGAACUUGCUGUUGAAGAGAUGAACUGUUGCAGUCCAAGAUUUGAAAGUAAAACUUUAAACAUUUAAUGUCUAUAUAUUUGUAAAAAUUUCAUCCAACAAUGUUUGGAUUUGUAUCGAAUUUGCUAGAAAUGGCUUUUAACCUUUGCUAAGAAUGGCAAGAAACUUUGCUGAAAAUGGCGUUAAACUUUGCUAGAAAUGUUUGUUAAAACAGCACCAAACUUUGCUAGAAAGUGUGUGUUAAUUUUGAUUACAAGAAACUGUGCUAAAAACUUUGCAUAAAAUAGCGUAAACCUUUGCUAGAAAUUGCAUCAAAAUUGCGUCAAACUUGGGUAUUGCAUCAAGAUUUCCUUAAUAUUUGCAUAUCAUUUGUUUAAUAAAAUGCAUGAUCAUUUUGAUUACAAGAGACUAUGCCAAAAACUUUACUAGAAACUUUACUUUGCUGAAAAUUGUGUCAAACUCUGCUGAAAAUUGCAUAAAACUUGCUGCUAGAAAAAAAAAAAAAAAAAAGGUGUUAACAUGCUGCUUAACAUGGCCAAAACCUUUGCUAAAAAUUGCUACAAACUUUGUAUAAAAUGGCGUCAAACUUUGCUGAAAUUGCAUAAAAUUUUGCUUAAUAAUGGCGUCAAACUUUGCUAGAAUUUACAAGAAACUUUGCUUCAAAUUGCAUCAAACUUGGCUUGGCUAUUGCAUCAAAAUGUGUUUGAAUUUUGUUUAAAGAUUUGUGUUAAUUUUUAAUGUAAGAAACUAUAUGCUAGAAACUGUGUCAAACUAGAAACUUUGCUGAAAAUGGUGUUAAACUUUCCCAAGAAUUUUGCUAAACAUGGCGUCAAACUCUGCUAAAAAUUUGCAUCAAAAUCUGCUCGAAAUUUUGCUUAAAAAUUGCGUCAAACUUUGCUAGAUAUUUUAUUAGACUUUGCAAGAUACUUUGCUUGAAAUGGCGUGAAACUUUGCUAAAAAUUUGCAUCAGAAUCUGCUCGAAAUUUUGCUUAAAAAUGGCGUCAAACUUUGCUAGAAAUUUCUUUAGACUUUGCAAGAUACCUCUGCUAAAAAUGGCGUCAAACUCUGCUAAAAACUUUGCUUAAAAUGGCGUCAAACUUUGCUAAAACAUGCAAGAAACUUUGCUUCAAAUUGCAUCAAACUUGGCUUGGCUAUUGCAUCAAAAUGUGUUUGAGUUUUGUUUAAAAAUUUGUGUUAAUUUUGAAUGUAAGAAACUAUAUGCUAGAAACUGGGUCCAACUGUGCUAGAAACUUUGCUGAAAA